UGAAAAGAAAAGGGCAGUCUUAUUCCAUGAUAUAAAACGCAGCUGUGAAACAAAUACAGAGACGUGCAAAAAACGGCAUACACGGCAGAGCAGUCUUGAAAGGAGACAAAUUGAGAGGAGAGAAAAAAAAUCACUUACCCGGUUUGCCGUGUGAAAUCCAACGUAUAGCCUCAGUUUCAGAAGCCGUCGCUAUGACAUUCGAUUAUAGAACAGUAGCAAGGGGAGAAAACUUUGUUUGACC
rnacentral:lncRNA from 1 species